rnacentral:rRNA from 1 species
AGCUCCAGUAGCGUAUAUUAACGUUGUUGCAGUUAAAAAGCUCGUAGUUGGAUUUCUGGCUUUGGUUGCCUGAUCCGCCACGGUUACGUGUGUGAGUAUCGGCGUGACUGAGCCAUCCUUCCGGGGAACGCAUGUGCCCUUCAUUGGGUGGGUGUGCCACUCGGAUCGUUUACUUUGAAAAAAUUAGAGUGUUCAAAGCAGGCUUUCGCCUUGAAUACAUUAGCAUGGAAUAAUAACAUAGGACUUGGGUUCUAUUUUGUUGGUUUCUAGGACUGAAGUAAUGAUUGAUAGGGAUAGUUGGGGGUGCUAGUAUUGGGCGGCCAGAGGUGAAAUUCUUGGAUUCGCUCAAGACUAACUUAUGCGAAAGCAUUCACCAAGGAUGUCUUCUUUAAUCAAGAAC